rnacentral:rRNA from 1 species
AGCAGCCGCGGUAAUUCCAGCUCCAAUAGCGUAUAUUAAAGUUGUUGCAGUUAAAAAGCUCGUAGUUGAAUUUCGGGAUUGACGUGAUGGUCGUGCCUUACGGGGUAUGAACUGUCGCAGUUGAUUUCUCACCUUCUGGAGAAGCUCGAUGUCCUUAAUUGGGUGUCUUGCGGAACCAGGACCUUUACCUUGAAAAAUUAGAGUGUUUAAAGCAGGCAUUUUGCUCGAAUACAUUAGCAUGGAAUAAUAGAAUAGGACGGCAUGGUUCUAUUUUGUUGGUUUCUAGGAUCACCGUAAUGAUUAAUAGGGAUAGUUGGGGGCAUUAGUAUUCAAUUGUCAGAGGUGAAAUUCUUGGAUUUAUUGAAGACUAACUACUGCGAAAGCAUUUGCCAAGGAUGUUUUCAUUAAUCAAGAACGAAAGUUAGGGGAUCGAAGACGAUCAGAUACCGUCGUAGUCUUAACCAUAAACUAUGCCGACUAGGAAUCAGACGAUGUUAAUUUUUAAUGUACUCGUUUGGCU